GACGAACGCUGGCGGCGUGCUUAACACAUGCAAGUCGAACGCUGAAGCUUGGUGCUUGCACUGGGUGGAUGAGUGGCGAACGGGUGAGUAAUACGUGAGUAACCUGCCCUUGACUCUGGGAUAAGCCUGGGAAACUGGGUCUAAUACUGGAUACGACAUGUCACCGCAUGGUGGUGUGUGGAAAGGGUUUUACUGGUUUUGGAUGGGCCCACGGCCUAUCAGCUUGUUGGUGGGGUAAUGGCUCACCAAGGCGACGACGGGUAGCCGGCCUGAGAGGGUGACCGGCCUCACUGGGACUGAGACACGGCCCAGACUCCUACGGGAGGCAGCAGUGGGGAAUAUUGCACAAUGGGCGGAAGCCUGAUGCAGCGACGCCGCGUGAGGGAUGACGGCCUUCGGGUUGUAAACCUCUUUCAGCACGGAAGAAGCGAAAGUGACGGUACGUGCAGAAGAAGCGCCGGCUAACUACGUG
rnacentral:rRNA from 1 species